AGGUGAGGAAAUGAAUGAUGACUGUGGUGACAGGGGGAACUUUCAUUACAAAAGUGUGUUUCCCAUGACACCUGGGUUCCAUGCAAUUUUCAGAAAAGAAGUGCAGGAAGCAAUAAUAAGAGGCUUCUGUGAAGUUCUGGGCCUCUGCAGAUCAUAAAAGAAGGAAGACGACACCAGGAAUAUGACACAAAGAUGGCAAACACCACAUGGAAGAGAGAUACAAAACGAGCCCAGGAUUCCUGAAUUCUUUCAGCUCAGCCACUCUAACCAAAACCUUACAGGGUGGCAUUGCAGCCUGUCACUCUCUUUCAUCCAUCACACCAUGUAUCACCCACAUCACUGUUCUGGAUGCUGUGACCUGGGCUUCAGGACCUGACAGGCACCCAAGGAUGGAAGGUAAAUGGAAUGAGGCUGAAUAGAACUCUGCAAGCAAAACAGAGUCAGGAAGGCACACAGGCCUCAAUACUGGCUGUGGCUGCUCAACAAGCUCAAACCACUGCACAAUGGGAACACUGCCUCUGAAGCCUCAUCCUCUUGUGAUCCAGCGCUGGGGCCUAUGAAUGUGUUAACAGAACAAAGGGCUCAAAAUGCCCACCUUGAGAAAGAAGCUGAAAGUAAUAUACAUGCCAAUCACCACGAGUAAAUACACCUGUCCUGGGCUUUCAUUGGCUAAAUACGGCCAUCAUUGGGCGCAUUGCCCUUUGUGUAACUUCAUUUUUCUGGCCCACCAGGUGGCAUUAGGAUCCCAGUCACUGACUGAUCAUUGCAAACAUUGGUAUUGGGGCACCCCAGUGCCACGGAAAUGACAACUUUAGGAUUUGAUGGCUGGUCCCAGGUUUCUGGGAAGUGUUUUAUUUGGAGAUAUUAUUUCCGAUUCCAUGAGCAUUUCAGAAUGCUUCCUGAGGAGGAAAUCAUUAUUUCAAUUAUUUCUGAAGACUACAAAUCUGGAUGGAUAUAUUGUUUUUAAGUUUUUUAUUUGAUUUUUAGUAUAGAGAGUAGAAGGGAAAGGAAAAGAGAGAAACACUGAUUUGUGCCUCCUGCAUGGUCCCUUCCACCUACUGGGAAUCCACCAAGAAAGCCUGGCUUGUGCCUCACCAGAAAUCAAACUGAUAAGCUUUCUGUUCCUGGGACUACGCUCAACCAAAGACCCACUCCAGUCGUCACAUGUUUUUAGUUUUAUCAAAAAAAUCACAUUAAAGAUAAAUACACAUAAUCCUAUCAUAUUUGUUUAAAAACAAAGUUUGAAAACAUACAUAGGUGAACAAGUUGACAUUUCCUGCAUUGUCUACACGUUUGUUGUCAGUACACAUUGUGAAGCCAUGGAGUUAAGAGUUACUGAAUGUUCACUACAGGUGCCAGGCCCUGGAUUCAAUGCUUCAAAUGCAUUAUUAUUUCAAGGUAAAUUGACUGCUUGUAGAGUUUAAUAAAAGGCAGGGCUGGAAGUCAAACCCCUGUAUCUCCAAUAACAACAGAGCUCUGGCUUCUAAUGUUAGGCUCUGCUGCCUCCUCGAGAGUAGAGUUGGUAAUGCAUGACCAUUAGGAUGGGCUAGAUAUUGUUGUGGAUAACAAACAGCCCCAAGGCUUUGGUAGCUUAUACUAAGGAAGGUAUCUUUCUUGGUCAUGCUAUAUGUCCUCCUUGGUUCUCCUGGGACUGGUAUAAAAGGAAUCCACCAUGUAGAUAUCUCCUACAUAUAUCAGAGAUGGACAGCGACAGUGGCCACUCUGUGCUUCCAGAUUUUUCUGUUAGAAGUGACAGCUUCACUCCCAGCAUAUUUCACUGAUCAAAGCACAUCACAGGGCUGCAGCCAAAUCCAGGGGGUCAGAUUGAGAACCUGACCUACUUGAUGGGCCUCGUUGAUGUGCUCAUAUGUGAUCACCUCUUUUGGAACUGUGCAGAGGCAAAGGAGAUGGGUGGGUUUUGGUAGGAAAUGACUAUGGAAAUCAGCCAGUGUGGUUCUCUCUGUCUUCAUUCACAUGGAUUUUGUUCCAGAACUGCCCAAAACCAUCACUGUCAAGAUUCAAAGGAGUGAACUUCAAUAAAAGGAGAAGGGUUAGAUAUCAUUGGCAGCAAACAAGAACACAUUUCUGAGUGUGACCUUUGCUAAAGCCCUGGCUGCCUCGCAUCCCCCAUUAUUGUUGAAGACCCACAUGUUAAGAAUGUUGACUGGGAAGGAUACAGGACUCGAAUGCAUGCAAGCAUUCCAGCAUUCAUGCUCUUUGAAAUCAACAUCAGUCACUACUCUACCUCCAAGUCUCUAUCUUUUGCAUUGGCGAAGUGAGUGCUCCAUCAGAUGGGGCUAAUUGUCAAAAUGCUGACAUUAACACCAAUGUUGAUAUUAUGCAUCCAUUCAUUCUGUGCCUGAACUUGUGCUAAAUGUGGCCGCUCCAUAGUUCUCUCCAUUCCCAUUGGAGAGAGCCCUGGGCCUGAUUUUCCCUCCUCAUCCCAAUGUUCUUGGGUGCCCAAGCUCACCCAGUAAAUGAUGAGUGUCCAGAUACCAGAAAAUUAUGCUCUGAGCAGCCCCAGGCACAUUCCCUAUUAAGUGUCAGCCUAGCUUACACAUGGGCAAGGGAUUGACCUGCUCAUCAGGGACUAGGAGGACCGCCAAACUCUCCCAGCCCUCUCCAGGGGUAUCCAGUUACUCAUUCCUGGUUGGGGGGGGGGGGAGGGGAGAGGGGAAUCAGGGACCUAGAAUUCUUACCCCUCAGUUUUACCCCAUAUACACCCAUCCACUGAUUCCUUUCCAAGGAUCCAAAAUCUCCCAGAUCCUCCCCGAAGGCUUAGAGUACUUCCAAAACAGCACCUCCACAUUCUAUACCUCCUUUCUGCCACCAGAGUCUUCCUCAAUUCCCCACCUUUGCUCAGCCUGGGGUUCUAUGACCCCUCACUUCAUCCAUCCAUAAGCCUGACACGGGACCCAAAGGGGUAAAACAGAGGCUUGGAAGAGCAGGUGAAAAAGGGGCUCAGCCUGGGAAGCAAGGAAGAUGAACACAUUAUCCUCUAAAUCACCCCUUUGGAGAUUGCCUAUGCAUUUGCCUGUUGCUGGGGUGCACACAUACACAAUCCAACAGGGAACAUACAGACACCAUAAGCACAGAAAUGCACAGGUACAGAACACUCCCAGGCAAAGAUGGGCUCUCAGAUGCAGGGCUUGUGGCCAGGCUCACACAGACCCAGACUACAGACUUGGACAUCACUUUGAGAGGAACACACACAAACACAGAUAAAAAUACACGGGGCCACCAAGACAAUGUCACAAGGCACACCAACACACACAGUGGACACACACAGGCACACACAAGAAGAGACAUACAUGGAGACAGAAGAGUGACACAAAGAGAAUAAAAACACACACAGAUACAAUCAGGCACAAAGUAGCAGCAAAUUCACACAUACAACCAAUACCAACACAUGCAACAGAAACACUCUCUCAAAUGCUGAGUCCUACUAAUACACUGUUUGAAGGAAACCUUAAGAAUUAAAGUGUUUCCUGGCCAGGUGGCUCAGUUGGUUGGAGCAUCAUCUUAUAACACCCUACCCCCCAAAAAAGAUUGUGGAUUUGAUCCCUAGUCAGAGCAUGUACAGGAAGCAAGUGAUCCAUGUUCCCCUCACAUCAUUGUUUCCUCUCUCUCUCUCUCUCUCUCUCUCUCUCUCUCUCUCUCUCUCUCUUUCUCUCUCUC